rnacentral:rRNA from 1 species
GAACCGGAGGAAGGUGGGAUGACGUCAAGUCCUCAUGGCCUUUAUGUCUAGGGCUACACACGUACUACAAUGGCCGGUACAAAGGGCAGCCACUCAGCGAUGAGGCGCUAAUCCCAUAAAGCCGGUCUCAGUCCGGAUCGCAGUCUGCAACUCGACUGCGUGAAGUUGGAAUCGCUAGUAAUCGUAGAUCAGCAUGCUACGGUGAAUACGUUCCCGGGCCUU